rnacentral:tRNA from 1 species
GCCUCGGUAGCUCAAUGGCAGAGCAGCUGAUUUGUAAUCAGCAGGUUGUGGGUUCAACUCCCUCCCGAGGCUCCA